rnacentral:lncRNA from 1 species
GUCACCUUAUCAGAUAGGACUUCCAUGGCCACCCUCUGUAAAACAGCACCUCUGGCUUAUCAACAAUCUCCAUUUUGUGGGCCUCGUUUUGUGUUUCAUUAUCUGUCUUCUUCUAACAGAAUCUCUUCUAAAAAUAAGCCAACACAGUGCCUGAAUGUAACAUCUGCGGGGGACCUUUCUACAGGAUGAAGAGCAAAACAGGCAAGUACAUUUUUCUGUUGUUCUAUUUGCCUGUGGCUAUUAUCUUUCUGA